ACAUGCUUACAGCAUAACAUUAAUUCACCAUAUCCCAUUAGAACUCAAGAGUUAAGCACACUCGGAAUAGAGUAGUACUGUGAUGGGUGACUUCUCGAGAAGCCUUGUUAUUUUACAUGCC
rfam:Picea glauca, whole genome shotgun sequence.